rnacentral:rRNA from 1 species
AUUGAACGCUGGCGGCAGGCCUAACACAUGCAAGUCGAACGGUAACAGGAAACAGCUUGCUGUUUCGCUGACGAGUGGCGGACGGGUGAGUAAUGUCUGGGAAACUGCCUGAUGGAGGGGGUUCACUACUGGAAACGGUAGUUAAUACUGCAUAACGCCGCCAGACCAAGAGGGGGACCCUCGGGCCUCUUGCCAUCGGAUGUGCCCAGAUGGGAUUAGCUUGUUGGUGGGGUAACGGCUCACCAAGGCGACGAUCCGUAGCUGGUCUGAGAGGAUGACCAGCCACACUGGAACUGGGACACGGUCCAGACUCCUACGGGAGGCAGCAGGGGGGAAUAUUGCACAAUGGGCGAAAGCCUGAUGCAGCCAAGCCGCGUGUAUGAAGAAGACCCUCCGGUUGUAAAGUACUUUCAGCGGGGAGGAAGGGAGUAAAGUUAAUACCUUUGCUCAUUGACGUUACCCGCAGAAGAAGCACCGGCUAACUCCGUG